rnacentral:rRNA from 1 species
AACGAACGCUGGCGGCAGGCUUAACACAUGCAAGUCGAGCGCAUCCUUCGGGGUGAGCGGCGGACGGGUGAGUAACGCGUGGGAACGUGCCCUCUUCUACGGAAUAGCCUCGGGAAACUGAGAGUAAUGCCGUAUACGCCCGCAAGGGGAAAGAUUUAUCGGAGGAGGAUCGGCCCGCGUUGGAUUAGGUAGUUGGUGGGGUAACGGCCUUCCAAGCCGACGAUCCAUAGCUGGUUUGAGAGGAUGAUCAGCCACACUGGGACUGAGACACGGCCCAGACUCCUACGGGAGGCAGCAGUGGGGAAUCUUGGACAAUGGGGGCAACCCUGAUCCAGCCAUGCCGCGUGAUCGAUGAAGGCCUUAGGGUUGUAAAGAUCUUUCAGCUGGGAAGAUAAUGACGGUACCAGCAGAAGAAGCCCCGGCUAACUCCGUG